UACGGGGGGGGCGAGCGUUGUUCGGAAUCACUGGGCGUAAAGGGCGCGUAGGCGGCCCGCACAAGUCUGCGGUGAAAACCCCCGGCUUAACCGGGGGCCGGCCGUGGGAAACUGUCGGGCUAGAGGCCGGGAGAGGGCAGCGGAAUUCCCGGUGUGAGCGGUGAAACUGCGCAGAGUAUCAGGAAGAACACCCGUGGCGAAGGCGGCUCUCUGGGACGGUACUGACGCUGAGACGCGAAAGCGUGGGGAGCGAUCCGG
rnacentral:rRNA from 1 species